UACGUAGGGUGCAAGCGUUAAUCAGAAUUACUGGGCGUAAAGCGUGCGCAGGCGGCUUUGCAAGACAGAUGUGAAAUCCCCGGGCUCAACCUGGGAACUGCAUUUGUGACUGCAAGGCUAGAGUACGGUAGAGGGGGAUGGAAUUCCGCGUGUAGCAGUGAAAUGCGUAGAUAUGCGGAGGAACACCGAUGGCGGAGGCAAUCCCCUGGACCUGUACUGACGCUCAUGCACGAAAGCGUGGGGAGCAAACAGG
rnacentral:rRNA from 1 species